AGCGAACGCUGGCGGCAGGCCUAACACAUGCAAGUCGAACGAACCUUUCGGGGUUAGUGGCGGACGGGUGAGUAACACGUGGGAACGUGCCUUUAGGUUCGGAAUAACUCAGGGAAACUUGUGCUAAUACCGAAUGUGCCCUUCGGGGGAAAGAUUUAUCGCCUUUAGAGCGGCCCGCGUCUGAUUAGCUAGUUGGUUGAGGUAAUGGCUCACCAAGGCGACGAUCAGUAGCUGGUCUGAGAGGAUGAUCAGCCACAUUGGGACUUAGACACGGCCCAAACUCCUACGGGAGGCAGCAGUGGGGAAUCUUGCGCAAUGGGCGAAAGCCUGACGCAGCCAUGCCGCGUGAAUGAUGAAGGUCUUAGGAUUGUAAAAUUCUUUCACCGGGGACGAUAAUGACGGUACCCGGAGAAGAAGCCCCGGCUAACUUCGUG
rnacentral:rRNA from 1 species